UACGUAGGGGGCGAGCGUUGUCCGGAAUUAUUGGGCGUAAAGAGCUCGUAGGCGGUUCGGCAAGUCACGUGUGAAAUCUCCACGCUCAACGUGGAGUCGCCACGUGAGACUGCCGUGACUCGAGUCCGGUAGGGGAGCGUGGAAUUCCCGGUGUAGCGGUGAAAUGCGCAGAUAUCAGGAGGAACACCGGUGGCGAAGGCGGGUCUCUGGGCCGAUACUGACGCUGAGGCGCGAAAGCCAGGGGAGCGAACGGG
rnacentral:rRNA from 1 species